UACAGAGGGUGCAAGCGUUGUUCGGAAUUAUUGGGCGUAAAGGGCGCGUAGGCGGUGCGGUAAGUCUGCGGUGAAAUCUCCCGGCUCAACUGGGAGUCUGCCGUGGAAACUGCCGUGCUUGAGUGUGGGAGAGGCGCGUGGAAUUGCAGGUGUAGUGGUGAAAUGCGUAGAUAUCUGCAGGAACACCCGUGGCGAAAGCGGCGCGCUGGACCACUACUGACGCUGAGGAACGAAAGCUAGGGGAGCAAACAGG
rnacentral:rRNA from 1 species